AAACUGGGAUUAGAUACCCCACUAUGCUUAGCCAUAAACUUUGAUAUUAACUUACCUCUAAUAUCCGCCAGGGGACUACAAGCGUUAGCUUAAAACCCAAAGGACUUGGCGGUGCCUCACACCCACCUAGAGGAGCCUGUUCUA
rnacentral:rRNA from 1 species